rnacentral:rRNA from 1 species
UAAAAGUUUUCAUUUUUAGUAUCUCCUGCUCAAUGAAGUUUAAAUAGCCGCAGUCCUCUGUGCUAAGGUAGCAUAAUCAUUUGCCUAAUAAUUAUAGGAUAGAAUGAAAGGAGGAACAUGAUAUCUUCUUUAUUAAAUAAAAUACUUUAAAUUAAUUUUUAAGUAAAAACACUUAAAUAAUUAGGGGGACGACAAGACCCUGACGAACUUUACUAUUUGUUUUGCUGGGGUGGCAAUAAAAUCAAACCUUUUCCUCCAUUUAUUUAAUCUAACCUUUAGAUUGAUAAUCAAGUUACCGCAGGGAUAACAGCAUAAUCUUUUCCUGAAGACCUUAUACAAGAAAAUGUUUGUGACCUCGAUGUUGAAUUAAAAAUCUAUUAGAAGCAGAACUCUAACAAGAGAGUCUGUUCGACUCUUAAAAAUUU